AGGUACUGAAGCUACACCAAGGAAGAAGGGAGCAGCCGCAUCUGCAUAAGUCUUUUGGAUUGGAAGAUCGUUGUUUGGAGGUUACCGAAUUAGAGUGGUAGAUUGUUAUUUUUGUGUUGUUGACGCAUAAGCCCUCCUGGUGCGGAAUCUCAUGAGUUGUGCUGAAUGUAAAAUUUCUUAUUAAGAUUCCACUGAUAGCAGCAGAAUUUUGGGACUUGGAGAUUGGAGUUCAUGGAAAUGGCAAUCCAUUGGGAAGCUUGAUCUGUAUGUUGCAGCUAUUGGGAUAAAUCCUAAAGGAGUUCGCGCCCUGGGAUGAUUCCAUCACCGUGAAUGACAUUGUUACAGGUCUAAAAGGAUUGAGAGAUGAUGAUGUGGAGCCAUUUUCUUCUGAUUUGAAUGCAGUUGAGACUCAGGCAUAAAAGUUUAUGGCUGCCACGUCCAUUUUAUGACCGGAAUUUUGGAUCUGAUCUUCCAUAUACUCUAUCUUUUUCAUGGCCCUUUUCCUCUAUUUCCUACUUCUCUUAGCCCUCACUGGUCAU